UUGACCUCGGAUCAGGUAGGGAUACCCGUC
rnacentral:rRNA from 1 species